rnacentral:rRNA from 1 species
AGAAGGCUAUGUUAGCCGGGCGACGGUUGUCCCGGUUUAAGCAUGUAGGCUGGUUAUCCAGGCAAAUCCGGAUAAUCAAGGCUGAGGUGUGAUGACGAGGCACUACGGUGCUGAAGUAACAAAUGCCCUGCUUCCAGGAAAAGCCUCUAAGCAUCAGGUAACAUCAAAUCGUACCCCAAACCGACACAGGUGGUCAGGUAGAGAAUACCAAGGCGCUUGA